rnacentral:rRNA from 1 species
GAGUUUGAUCAUGGCUCAGGAUGAACGCUAGCGGCAGGCUUAACACAUGCAAGUCGAGGGGUAUUCUAGCAAUAGGAGAGACCGGCGCACGGGUGCGUAACGCGUAUGCAAUCUACCUUUCACAGAGGGAUAGCCCAGAGAAAUUUGGAUUAAUACCUCAUAGUAUUAUGGAAUGGCAUCAUUUUAUAAUUAAAGUCACAACGGUGAAAGAUGAGCAUGCGUCCCAUUAGCUAGUUGGUAAGGUAACGGCUUACCAAGGCGACGAUGGGUAGGGGUCCUGAGAGGGAGAUCCCCCACACUGGUACUGAGACACGGACCAGACUCCUACGGGAGGCAGCAGUGAGGAAUAUUGGACAAUGGGCGCAAGCCUGAUCCAGCCAUGCCGCGUGCAGGAUGACGGUCCUAUGGAUUGUAAACUGCUUUUGCACAGGAAGAAACACCCCCUCGUGAGGGGGCUUGACGGUACUGUGAGAAUAAGGAUCGGCUAACUCCGUGCCAGCAGCCGCGGUAAUACGGAGGAUCCAAGCGUUAUCCGGAAUCAUUGGGUUUAAAGGGUCCGUAGGCGGUUUAGUAAGUCAGUGGUGAAAGCCCAUCGCUCAACGGUGGAACGGCCAUUGAUACUGCUAGACUUGAAUUAUUAGGAAGUAACUAGAAUAUGUAGUGUAGCGGUGAAAUGCUU